GUAUUGAUUGCGGGUUAGCGCAUAUAUGAGGUCAUUCUACACUUUUAAAAGGGGGGGUUUGUGUGAAAACGCGAGCCCCCUCCGAGAUGAUCCCGAAGGGUGCCCACGCGGUGAUGCACAAAGGGUGAGGUGGAUUAUUAUGUGAGGGGACACACCCGGGCGUGCACGACUUUUUGUGUUAAAAGUCAGCGACAGCCCUCGCGUGCCUCACACAUUUUGUACGAUAAUGAUCCUUCCGCAGGUUCACCUACGGAAA
rnacentral:misc_RNA from 1 species